CCUACGGGCGGCAGCAGUGGGGGAUAUUGCACAAUGGGGGAAACCCUGAUGCAGCGACGCCGCGUGGGUGAAGAAGCGCCUCGGCGCGUAAAGCCCUGUCAGCAGGGAAGAAAAUGACGGUACCUGAAGAAGAAGCCCCGGCUAACUACGUGCCAGCAGCCGCGGUAAUACGUAGGGGGCAAGCGUUAUCCGGAUUUACUGGGUGUAAAGGGGGCGCAGACGGCGAUGCAAGCCAGGAGUGAAAGCCCGGGGCCCAACCCCGGGACUGCUCUGGGAACUGCGUGGCUAGAGUGCAGGAGGGGCAGGCGGAAUGCCUGGUGUAGCGGGGAAAUGCGUAGAUAUCAGGCGGAACACCGGUGGCGAAGGCGGCCUGCUGGACUGCAACUGACGUUGAGGCACGAAAGCGUGGGGAGCAAACAGGAUUAGAUACCCCUGUAGUC
rnacentral:rRNA from 1 species